CCUUCGAUAGCUCAGUUGGUAAAGUGGUCCACUCUAGGUUGAUAAUACUAGGUAUUCUUAGGUUGCUAGUUCAAUUCUACCUUGAAGGA
rnacentral:tRNA from 1 species